rnacentral:rRNA from 1 species
GGGUUGUGAGGUUAAGCGACUAAGCGUACACGGUGGAUGCCCUGGCAGUCAGAGGCGAUGAAGGACGUGCUAAUCUGCGAAAAGCGUCGGUAAGGUGAUAUGAACCGUUACAACCGGCGAUGUCCGAAUGGGGAAACCCAGUGCAAUUCGUUGCACUAUCGUUAACUGAAUACAUAGGUUAACGAGGCGAACCGGGGGAACUGAAACAUCUAAGUACCCCGAGGAAAAGAAAUCAACCG